rnacentral:rRNA from 1 species
AACACCUGGGAAACAGAUGCUAAUACCCGGAUAACAACAGAUGAUGCCUAUCAACUGUUUAAAGAAUGGUUCUGCUAUCACUCUUGGGAUGGACCUGCGGUGCAUUAGCUAGUUGGUAGGGGUAACGGGCCUACCCAAGGCGAUGAUGCAUAGCCCGAGUUGAGAGACUGAUCGGGCCACAUUGGGGACUGAGACACGGGCCCAAAACUCCUACGGGGAGGCAGCAGUAGGGAAUCUUCCACAAUGGACGCAAGUCUGAUGGAGCAACGCCGCGUGAGUGAAGAAGGGUUUCGGCUCGUAAAGCUCUGUUGUUGGUGAAGAAGGACAGGGGUAGUAACUGACCUUUGUUUGACGGUAAUCGAUUAGAAAGUCACGGCUAACUACGUGCCAGCAGCCGCGGUAAU